rnacentral:rRNA from 1 species
AGUGAACGCUGGCGGUGGGCCUAAUACAUGCAAGUCGAACGACAGCACAGUAAGAGCUUGCUCUUAAGGUUGGCGAGUGGCGGACGGGUGAGGAAUAGAUAGGCAUCUAAUUUUUCUGGGGUGAUAACGUAAGGCAACUUCCGCUAAUACCGAAUAUGACCUACGGGUUGAAUCAGGAGUUAUUCGGACCUUGCGCGAUUGAAUGAGCCGGAGUCGGAUUAGCUAGUUGGCGUGGUAAAGGCCCACCAAGGCAACGAUCCGUAGCUGGUCUGAGAGGAUGAUCAGCCACACUGGAACUGAGACACGGUCCAGACUCCUACGGGAGGCAGCAGUGGGGAAUAUUCGACAAUGGGCGAAAGCCUGACCCAGCCAUACCGCGUGAGUGAAGAAGGCCUUCGGGUUGUAAAGCCCUGUUGUUGGGAAAGAAAAGCAGCAGGUUAAUACCCCGCUGUUCUGACGGUACCUAAAGAAUAAGCACCGGCUAACUUCGUG